GGGGGAAACUUCCCAAACCCUUCCCUAUGUAACUAACAUAUUGUAGUAUGAUGAAGUGUGAACUUAAUAAAAUCAUCAUAUAGUUGAGAUUAGACAGCUAGCCUUGCCUCAUACGUUUAACAUUCUUUUUGUCCUUUGAUUUUUCAAAAAGGGAAAUUAUUUGGUGUACUGUAUAUAGAAUUUUUAGAUUUUAUAAGUGUCUUA
rnacentral:lncRNA from 1 species